GAUCUCAAAUCAGGUAGGACUACCCGCUGAACUUAAGC
rnacentral:rRNA from 1 species